rnacentral:lncRNA from 1 species
CAGAAAUCAUGUAAUUUCAAUAAGAGUAACACAAUAUUACUAAAACAAAAUGAAAGAAACAACAGUAGCACUCCCUGAAAAUUGGAGACACAAACUUGGCUAAAAAGCCAUACAAAAAAUAGAGUCAUUGACGAACGAUAUAUAUUUUUUUAUGGUUGAUAAAGAUUCAGGUUCAACAUGAAAAAUAAUUAUUUUCUUCUAUGUUUUUGAUAUAACAAACUUUCAAAUAUUAGUAGAUUUAUUCAAAACUCUCAA